rnacentral:tRNA from 1 species
GGCUCGGUAACUUAAUUGGUAAAGCACUCGUCUAGUAUACAAUAGUCGUGAGUUCGAAUCCCACCUGAGCAC